CCAAACUGCUGCUCAGAGCGACGCUGGUAAAAACCUUGUUAAUAGAGGAGCCAUGUUGGGAUGAC